GGUUGGCCCCGCCCCGCCGCGCUCCUCUAGCUCGAGCCGGAGCCGCUGCCGCCGCGCGCCCGGGCUUCGCUGCCGUCGCCCCUCACGCAGGGCACCAUGCAGUUUAUGUUGCUUUUUAGUCGUCAGGGGAAGCUGAGACUUCAGAAGUGGUAUGUCCCGUUAUCUGACAAAGAGAAGAAGAAAAUCACCAGGGAACUUGUUCAAACCGUGUUAGCCCGUAAACCGAAAAUGUGCAGCUUCCUGGAGUGGAGAGACCUGAAGAUUGUCUACAAAAGAUAUGCAAGCCUUUAUUUCUGCUGUGCUAUUGAAGAUCAGGACAAUGAACUAAUAACCCUUGAAAUAAUUCAUCGUUAUGUGGAGCUGCUUGACAAGUAUUUUGGCAGUGUGUGUGAACUUGAUAUCAUCUUCAAUUUUGAAAAAGCCUAUUUUAUUCUUGAUGAGUUCCUUUUGGGAGGGGAAGUUCAAGAGACUUCCAAGAAAAAUGUUCUAAAAGCCAUUGAGCAGGCAGAUCUGUUACAGGAGAGCCAGAAUGAAGACUGGGGAGGUUUGUCUGAGGAUAUCUUAUGAUUAAGAGCAUUCUAAGGCAUUAGCCCUUUUGACCCCCAUCUAAAUUAUUGGCCAUAAGAGAUGAAUACAUUGUGGCAAUACUACAAAGAAAAGCCACGCCAUGAAUACUUUAAUGUCCCAGUGUACUAAAUGACUUCAUUCAUCAUGCAUGCAGAGUUCAGAGAGGAGGUAGACCUGACUUACUCGAGGCAGAGAACAUUAUCCUCAGCUUGGUGCAUCCAAUCAUCUCGAACACAAUAGAAUAUUACAACCAUUAUCUUUGCUGUUGUACUUUCUUUCCCCUCUUCUGUUUACAUUGUUGUCUCCUCAUGUCUUAUCUUGAUAAAACUUGUUCUUGUCAAUAUAUGAUUUAAUUUCUUGCUAUGUGAAAAGUUUUUAAAGUGUUGUUCUAACAUUUGUCUGGAAAUCUAUUUCAGUUUAAAUCUGCAUAUACAUUACUUGACCUGAGUUUAACUUUUAAAUAGUUAACCUAUGGUGGUACUUAAAAAUUAAUAUUUAAUAACUGACAGAAUAAUUUAGAUGUUUACAUAGAGCAAGUAGCAAUCCUGUUAGGUACUGUGAGCCUCUUUUUAAAAUGCAGAGAAUGUAUACAUACACCCUUCUAACAUAUAGAUGACAUAUUGCACAUAAAACUAUGAGCAAGUAAAAGCGUACACUUGUGUGUGUAUAAUUUAUAAAAUGUGUACACACGUCUAUAGAAAAGCUCAAAAAUAAUAUAAUUUUCCUUCCUUUAAAAAGUCUUUGUUGAGGCAGUGGUGAUUUACUAUCUAAGGUACCAAUAGAGACAAGAUGAAGGGGAGAAAUUGUUGUCUGUCCUCUGGUGCUCCGCAUGGGUAAUGCCUUCUGGCAAUGCCAAAACUCAAGAGUUCUGACACUAUAUUGAUAUGUUUUAAAGGUUGAAUAAACUGUAGUUUCUCGCAUUGAACAAUUAUUUUUUCCAGUAAUGAGAAUUAAAAUUACUAGCUAAGUUCAUUCCCUUCUGCCACCCAGUAGUUUAUAAAGCCUGUUGUUCAGUCAUCAGUGGCAUAUUGAAAUCUUAGUCUUCAUUAAUCAUUAUUUUUAGUUUUAAAUACAAGAUCUAUUGUUUAACAGAAAGAUAACUGCCACUUUAAAAAUAUUAAAAUAAACUAUUCUGAAUGUAUGCAGAGCAAGGAAAAGAUAUAUAUUUCUCCCUGUUUUUAGUAAGACUGACUGUUACACUGUAAAAUAUAUAGACUGUCUUUGGAAGCAGAGUUUUAUAUAACCUUAAAUAGAAAGGGUUUGGUUAAAUAAAGCAACCAUGCAUAAUUAUAAAUGAUUUAUAUGUGGUAAUGCACUACCUAAUAAAUGUCAAUCUGGCUUUAAAAAAUGGGAUCCAUGGAGAGGGGAAUAUUUUAAUUAAAUUUGCAGUGUUCUCAGAUAUUUAUAGAAAACAAGAUCCUGGGGUGAUUUUUUUUUUUUUUUUUUUUUUUCCUUUUCCCAAGUUUUGCUGCUCUUUUUGUUGUGAGGUGUUAACAGUUCGUGAAUAUAUGUGGUUAAUGCUGCUUUAACCUGCAUUCUCUCAUGCCUGUUGGCCUGAAAUGCUAUGCAUUGAGCUGUAAUGAGAUGCUGUUUCCUUGUUAUCUGUAUGUAGCUGCUUGCUUCUAAAUGACUAGGUCAUGAAUUGGCUUUCCUGGCAUGGUUGAAAUAAAGUAUUGCAUGCA